CACUAGAAGAGAUCGAUAAUCAGCACUCCCAUCUCUCUUUAAAGCAGCUGCAAGGAGAGGAGGAUGCAGCUUAGGGCCAUGGUACUUUUCCUCCUGCACCAUUUCCCCCAGGGACCAAGGAGUUUGACACCAGCUGAACUAUCGGGGCAUCUGUUGUAGGAGUCUUGAGCAAGUCCGACACCUCAGCCUGGAAAGCAUAAAAGCUGUUAGAGAUAGCUAAAGGCUUUCUGUUCGCUGCAGGGAACACACAACAAGGUAAAGAAGAAAAAGCUGACAGAAAGGGGGAUGUGAUCUGGAUUGGGACUACAGGAAGGGCUGGGAGAGACUCCUAAUUGAAACCAUGGAGAAGCCACUGCCAGUCAGUGAAGACAAUACUGAGCAGUGAAGACGUAAGGCAACUUCCUAUGCUUCCUUUAUUUAAAAAAAAAUAGUACAAAAAUACAAUACAAUUGUAACAAAGAAUAUAUUAUACAAUUAUAACAAAGAAAAACAAAUUGUGAGGGAGUACUUCAUUAAAUUUUGAAUUCCAAAAAGUAAUAAACUGAAUCCAUCAUUGUACAAAUCUGUCUGCUCUUACAUUCAGUUCUGAUCUUCUAAAGUAAGUUAAUUUUGUAUGUAGUACAAUAUUUCAAAUAUGUUUAUACCAAUCUGGACAUACUUUUCCAUAGCCAAGACCGUUGUUCCUGGGAAAUGGACUCUCCCAAAUCUUUCUCCCAUUUAUAAUCAUAGUUUGGC